rnacentral:rRNA from 1 species
GCGCGAAACCUCUGCAAUGCGGGAAACCGUGACAGGGGGAUCCCAAGUGCUCAUGCAUUGCAUGGGCUGUUCUUUGGUCUAAGUAACCAGAGGAGUAAGGGCUGGGCAAGACCGGUGCCAGCCGCCGCGGUAAUACCGGCAGCUCAAGUGGUAGCCGCGAUUAUUGGGCCUAAAACGUUCGUAGCCGGAUAAGUAAGUCUUUGGUUAAAUCCUGCGACUCAACCGUGGGAAUUCUAGAGAUACUGCUCGUCUUGAGACCGGGAGAGGUUGGAGGUACUCCUAGGGUAGGGGUGAAAUCCGUGUAAUCCUAGGGGGACCACCUGUGGCGAAGGCGUCCAACUGGAACGGGUCUGACGGUGAGGGACGAAACCUGGGGAGCGAGCCGAAUUAGAUACCCCAG